rnacentral:rRNA from 1 species
UCCCCAGACUCCUACGGGAGGCAGCAGUGAGGAAUAUUGGUCAAUGGCCGCAGGGCUGAACCAGCCAAGUCGCGUGAGGGAUGACGGUCCUAUGGAUUGUAAACCUCUUUUGUCAGGGAACAAAGGCGGGGACGUGUCCCCGGAUGAGUGUACCUGAAGAAAAAGCAUCGGCUAACUCCGUGCCAGCAGCCGCGGUAAUACGGAGGAUGCGAGCGUUAUCCGGAUUUAUUGGGUUUAAAGGGUGCGCAGGCGGGCUGUUAAGCCGGCGGUAAAAAUUCAGGGCUCAACCCUGUCGAGCCGUCGGAACUGGCAGUCUUGAGUGGGCGAGAAGUAUGCGGAAUGCGUGGUGUAGCGGUGAAAUGCAUAGAUAUCACGCAGAACGCCGAUUGCGGAGGCAGCAUACCGGCGCCCAACUGACGCUGAGGCACGAAAGCGUGGGGAUCGAACAGGAUUAGAUACCCGCGUA